AAUCAACUAUUUUCUUUCUCGAUGGCUUCUCUUGAGAUUACAAAGCGACUGUGUCGUCACUUCUACACUUCCCACGGAAUUUAUACUCGCAUGCGGCAAUAAUUUAUGGACCAAUAAUAUAGUGUCACAUAAUAUACUUUUUUAAAACAAGGGAUGCAGUUUUCAAUGUACCAAAAACUGGACCACCCACUGGCAGACGUACUGAACAAAGCCAACUCUUUGUAUGUACACUUGAAAUUAAAGAUCCUAAACAUUGAUUACCUCUUUACAUAUUUAAGAGUUAUAUCAUAAGUACUUAAGUGUGCAUUCAUUUCAACGAAAUCUUUGCUAUAGCAAUGAUUAAAUCAGAGGCACCCAAACCUGACCCUAGUUUAUCGAGUGAUUCCCCCACCUCAUCGUCAGUGUUCGUGCCUCUCGGGUUGCAGCUGUGAAGGGGUACGAACGUCGGUAAGUACGAUUUCUUAGGGUAGAGUACUUACCGACCAGUACCAACGUUAACAACUUCACAGAAGAAUGAAUGAACACGGUGUGAGGUAAUCUCUCGGUAGACUGCAUUCAGGGGUUUAGACAUUUCUGGGUUAGACAAUUAAACCCAUGUUUGGUACAAACAGAGGGUGUGUGUAUCCUACUUGCAAAUCUAAUUUCCUCUUUAUAUUACAAAUCAAUGCAAGAACGCAUACGGCGCUUUGAAUGACGUACUCUGCGUUACGUUACCGAUAAACAAUGACAUAUAUGUAAUUCAGAAAAUGUUAAAACGAAGAUCGACGACCAAAUAACGAACGAGACAAAUGAAAUAAAACGGAAGACAUAAAA